UCAAAAAUUCCGUUGCGUCGUG
rnacentral:miRNA from 1 species